AUACGGAGGGUGCGAGCGUUAAUCGGAAUUACUGGGCGUAAAGCGUGCGUAGGCGGUUUGCUAAGUCAGAUGUGAAAGCCCCGGGCUUAACCUGGGAACUGCAUUUGAUACUGGCAGACUAGAGUAUGAUAGAGGGGGGUAGAAUUCCUGGUGUAGCGGUGAAAUGCGUAGAUAUCAGGAGGAAUACCAGUGGCGAAGGCGGCCCCCUGGAUCAAUACUGACGCUGAGGUACGAAAGCGUGGGGAGCGAACAGGAUUAGAAACCCUGGUAGUCC
rnacentral:rRNA from 1 species